rnacentral:rRNA from 1 species
AUGCAGCGGAUCUUCCUCGGGAUCCGCGUCUGGCAGCAAUCCUGCCGGGCCAACCACGGCAGGCGCAGACGCGCGCGGGGCCGAGUCCGCAUCAGCCACGCGGCAAAGGCUGGCGGGCUGCGACGCUUCUCCUCGCGCGCACGACUCCGCGCUCGACAAGCGGCAGGCCGGCACUGGCUCGGGCCGUGUCCAGCGGGAGGCCCAACUGCAUGUGUACACGCGCCGCGCCGCCACUGCUCGUCAGGUGGACGCGGGGACAGAUCCGACCAGCCCAGGGCCCAGGCAGAUCAGCUUGAUCCAGACCCAGGAUCUUCUGCGCCGGAUCUCUCUACAGAAGCUCCUGCUGCUACUCCUCCACGUCGAACACGAUUGCAACAAGGGUUAAUUAAACCUAUUGAUUAUAAACAUGUUACAAAAUAUGGGCUGGUAUGUUCUACAGGUGAAUCAGAAGAACCCAAUACUCUUGAGGAAGCUUUGGGUGAUGCAAAUUGGAGAAAAGCAAUGCAUGAUGAAAUCAUAGCACUUAAGAAAAAUAGAACAUGGCAUUUGGUUCCUCCACAACGAGGUAAAAAUCUUAUUGACUGCAAAUGGGUCUUUAGGAUAAAAAGGAAAGCUGAUGGAACCAUUGACCGUUACAAAGCCAGGCUCGUUGCAAAGGGUUUUAAACAACGGUAUGGUAUUGACUAUGAGGACACGUUUAGUCCAGUUGUAAAAGCUGCUACUAUUCGUCUUGUUUUGUCCAUUGUUGUGUCCAGGGGAUGGAGUUUACGUCAGCUAGAUGUUCAGAACGCGUUCCUUCAUGGUGUUCUGGAAGAAGAGGUUUACAUGAAACAACCACCUGGGUUUGAAAACACACGUGCACCACUGCAUGUGUGCAAACUUGAUAAGGCAUUGUAUGGACUAAAGCAGGCCCCAAGAGCAUGGUACUCUCGCCUCAGUAAAAAGAUGCAAGCACUUGGUUUUGUUCCUUCAAAGUCUGACACUUCAUUGUUUAUUUAUAACAAAUCAAGUAUAUCCAUAUUUGUUCUCAUAUAUGUUGAUGAUAUAAUUGUGACAAGCUCAUCUGAUGAAGCAAUAACUGCACUGUUGAAGGAUUUGAGUGCAAAGUUUGCUCUCGAGGAUUUAGGAGAUCUACAUUAUUUUCUUGGCAUUGAGGUAAAGCAACACAAGGAUGGCCUUCACCUUUCUCAAGAAAAGUAUGCAACAGACUUGGUAAAAAAGGCUGGUUUGCAAAGUUGUAAGCCUGCACCCACUCCCUUAUCCAGCACAGAAAAGUUAUCCCUUGUUGAAGGAGAGCCUCUGAGUUCAGAAAAUGGUACAAAAUACAGAAGCCUGGUAGGUGCAGUACAGUAUUUAACACUGACUAGACCAGACAUCUCCUUUGCUGUUAACAAAGUAUGUCAGUUUCUCCAUGCACCUACCACUGUUCAUAUGACUGCUGCAAAACGUAUAGUAAGAUAUGUGAAAAAUACGUUGAAUGUUGGCCUAAAUUUCAGCAAGUCAUCCUCUACACUUAUCAGUGCCUUCUCUGACUCUGAUUGGGUUGGAUGUCUAGAUGACAGACGUUCAACUGGUGGCUUUGCAGUUUUCUUUAGACCUAAUUUAAUAUCUUGGAGUGCAAGGAAGCAAGCUACAGUUUCAAGAUCCAGUACAGAGGCAGAAUAUAAGGCAUUGGCAAAUGCAACAGCAGAAAUCAUAUGGGUGCAGUCAAUCCUAAAGGAACUAGGUAUGAAAAGCACUAGAGCUCCAUGUUUAUGGUGUGAUAAUCUAGGUGCUACCUACUUGUCAGCAAAUCUAGUUUUUCAUGCCAAAACUAAACACAUUGAGAUAGAUUUUCACUUUGUUCGAGAAAGAGUUGCAAACAAACUUCUGGAUAUUCAAUUUAUUCACUCUCAAGACCAAGUUGCUGAUGGCUUUACCAAAGCUUUACCCACAAGAAGUUUUGAGGACUUCAAG